CCUACGGGAGGCAGCAGUGGGGAAUAUUGGACAAUGGGCGCAAGCCUGAUCCAGCCAUGCCGCGUGUGUGAAGAAGGCCUUCGGGUUGUAAAGCACUUUUGUCCGGAAAGAAAAGCUUCGGGUUAAUACCCCGGGGUUCUGACGGUACCGGAAGAAUAAGCACCGGCUAACUUCGUGCCAGCAGCCGCGGUAAUACGAAGGGUGCAAGCGUUACUCGGAAUUACUGGGCGUAAAGCGUGCGUAGGUGGUUUGUUAAGUCUGAUGUGAAAGCCCUGGGCUCAACCUGGGAAUUGCAUUGGAUACUGGCAGGCUAGAGUGCGGUAGAGGAUGGCGGAAUUCCCGGUGUAGCAGUGAAAUGCGUAGAGAUCGGGAGGAACAUCUGUGGCGAAGGCGGCCAUCUGGACCAGCACUGACACUGAGGCACGAAAGCGUGGGGAGCAAACAGGAUUAGAUACCCGGGUAGUC
rnacentral:rRNA from 1 species